UUUUCUCCACUAAAUAUGAAUUGAUUCCCAAAAACACACAUACCCCGCCUAAUUUCUCCCGCUUCCUCAAAAUUCCAAACCCAAAACCUAGUCAAACGCUCAAACCCGUCUCUCUCCCUCUCGAUCCAUCUGUUUUAUGUGAAACAACUUGUACCAACUAUUGCGAACCAGCAUAACACCUCCAAAUCACACAACCAUAUACAACCAUUCGGCUCGUUGACCAACCGAUAAACUACUAUAGCUUCUGCCAUGUCUGACACAUCGACUUGUGUAUCACUGCUGACUGCCGAUCUACUACUCUUUGAGAUUAUGAUUGAGGUACCAUUGAACGGUCCUUCACAAAUUGCUUAAAAUAUUUUUAAGAAUUCAGUAUUUUGCAUUGCUAGCUUUGCUUUUUUUACCAUGAAUACUUGAAUUCAUUAUGAAUUUUGAUUAGUGCUUUAAUUUUGGGGUUUAAUUGAAAUUUUCUACUGUAAGGGCUUUGUUUUUGUGUGAGUUGCUUUAUUUUUUUAUGUUUGGAUAGUGCUACAUUAUAUGUUAUCUUUGCUUGAAACAUGUUUGAUGAAAUGCCACAUAAAGAGCAGGUUGUCUAGACCCUGAGUAGUUAAUGUUGAAUCAUGUUCUAUAGCGUUAGAUCGUUUGUACUCUCUUUUGCUACCUUAUUUCUUCGCCCUAAUUUUCGCAGUUACUAUUAAAUGUAUUUAUACAAAGCUUCACUUCCAGACUUGGGGUUCAUUUUGAAAAAUGAAUCGUUAUUUAAUGAAUUUAUGUUAUAUAUGCCACACAUAUGUUAAGGUUGAAUUGGUUUCCUUUAUUAAUUACCGACAUAGUUGUUAAAAGCCAUUGACUCUUGCGCCUAGGCCCAAUUUCCUAACAAGGUGAGGCAGUUGCGCUUUAAUUCUCCAAGUGAUGGUUCAUGUGCAGGUUCCGGCGAGAUUCCUAGAUUCUUGAGAGUUUUCGGCCAAAUUCUCUAAAUUCUUGCAACAUUCUAGCUAGACUUCUACUUUUAUCUAAUGAAACAACUUUUCUACACUAAUAAACUAACAUUUUAUAACUUUUGGUACUAAAUAGACGAUAUUAAACGUUAUAUAAUAGCUUUUUUUUAUUUGAAGAAUAAUAUAAUUCUCUAUUAUAUAAAAAUAUUUUAAGUUUUUUUUGUUGUUCGCUUUUUUUUUCUCGGGCCCGCACUUUUUUUGCGCCUUGCACCUAGGCCCAGGCGAAGCCUAUGUGCCUUGAGUGCGCUUAAUGCCUUUAAUACCUAUGUUUACCGGAUGUUGGUUAUGUACCAAACUACCAAUAUAGUUCUUAGGCUAUUGAAAUGACAUUCUUGAAGUACUAGGAUCUGUCUUUGUUUUUUUCUAAAUCUUUAUAGGCACUUUGAAGUUGGUGUUUUUAUGCCCCUUUUUUCAUUGUAGGAAAAAAAAAUAUUAAGUUUAGUCUACUUUGAAGUCUUCAACCCAGUCCAAAAAUGUUAAUAUGUCUAUUUCUGUAGGUCCUUGUUAAUUUUAAACAUGCUUGUUUUUGCAUGUUCUUGUUGUCCAUGUGCAUGCUAUGUUUAUACUCGUUCUUAUCAACCUUUCUAAAAGGGCGCGUCUACUUUAAUCUAAGGGGAGUGCAUGCUUUUAGGACAAGGUAUUAUAUCUUUAUGCCAGAGUAAGUUUUGUAUAACCUUUUUUUUGGCUUGGCAGUAAGGCACAUCAGACAAAUCAUCUGCUAGGGUAUACUUGUUCUAUCCUACAAUGAUUUGAAAAGAAAGCAACAAGUUUGUUGUUUGUGAAGUGUUCUCUUAUGUAAGCAAACUUGUCAUGUGGAAAUGUGUGAACACUUAAAAAUAUGUUAGGUGUUGACCGGCUACAGAUGUAAUAAUCUAAUAUUAUAAUGUUUAAUUUAGGAAGGUCUUGUUGCGAUGUUCGAGAAUUUGCUCGUUUAAUUUAGCUCUUACUUGGGGUAUGUUUGGCACACAACUUUUAGGAUGUUUUAAGAGCCUUAACUUUUUGUUUUUGAAAAAAAAAAUAAGCACUCUUUGAAAAAAGCCUAGUUUGGAACACAAAGCUUUAGCUUUGACUUUGGAAAAAUAAGUUAGCUUGUGCAGCAUUCAAAACAAGUUGGAGCUUGUAAUUUUGCAAAGCUAUUCUUUUAUUCUUACUUAAUCAUGUCUGCCAUUCGAGCUUUUUAUGUGUUUUUCUUUUAUAUAAUUUUACUACAGCUCUGCCCUUUGUCUUUUGCCUAUCUCCCUGUUUUCAGUUACAAUCUGUUUGGUAUAGUUCUUAGUACUGAUCUAAAUUCCUAACUUAACUUACAUUUAAACUUGACAAGGUACUGUCUAGUGGAGCCUGCAAAAGUGUCCUAUAUAUGGUACAUUAUACAUUUUUAAAUGUCAAGAUAGAUCCUAUUUUAUUUGUUAGCCAUCAUGUUGCAUUAACAAGUUCUCUCUAUAUUCUUCAUUGUUUAUAAACCUACUCACUUUAUGGGGUAAUGUUUUGGAUUCAAUUUUUUUGUAAUAAAUAUGAUUUCUUGAUGGUAUAGUUUUAUUUAUGUAGAAACCAAGGGCAUGCCAUUCGCAGAGUGAAAGUUAGGGGCUGUUUGGCAACAUCUGUAUGGUUAAGUGCUGAACCAGUAAGAGGUCUGAACCGUUAAGUACUGAACCAGUAAGAGGUCUGAACCAUUAAGUGCUGAACCAGUAAGAUGUCUGAACCAUUAAGAGCCUGUAUAAUGCUUAACCGUUCAAAGGCAAAUGUCUGACCAAUUCAGAUUAGAGGUCUUAACCAUUCAGACUUUGUAUAAAUCUUAACCAUUCAGAGGCAAAUGUCUGAACCAUUCAGACAUCUACUCGUGAAACAAACAGUCUGAACCAUUAAGUGCUGAACCAGUAAGAGGUCUGAACCAUUAAGAGCCUCAUUAAGAGGUAUACAAACAGCCCCUUAGGCUUCAAUUACCAGUUGCAACAAAGGAUGUUAUCUACAACCCCACUUUUGUCUCCUAAAAUCUUUCCGUUACAUGUUUGUUAGUACUAAUUUAUUCACUUUAGGUUUUUCCGAACAUCUGCAAAAUGGUCGUUAUUAAUUUUAAUAUGAAAUUAUUUGCAGUUGCUUUGCUAUCCAUUGUAUGUCGAAGCUUAGAACAUAUUGCAAAUUAAAUAGGCAUUUUGGUCAUUCCUCCUUAUACAGCUAUUGAAGCUAGAAAACGAUCAUAAUCACUUCUGUGGAAUGCGAGCUAGAGAAAGAGGUGGUAUUUUCUAGCAAAAUUGUUUAAUAUUAGUAUUUGCAGUGGUUCAAAUCAACUGGACUAUGAAGACAUUUAAUUAACAACUGUGGAACAAAUGAUCAACUACAAACCUCUAGAAGAUGUAAGUGCUUUGGUUAAUCCUUUUAUGAGUGUAAUGAACAAGGAGUAUGGCGACUACCUUCUACUUUAUGGCAAAGGUAUUAUUAAAAAAAGGAUGGUGGUGAGGAACCAUACAUGAUUCUGGGUGGACUUAUGGAAUUAUUCAAGGCGAGCCUUGAAGUUAAAAAAACAUAGUUGCUUGAAAUGCGAAAAGAAAUUGAGGAGAACCAUUAAAGGAAAAAAAAAACUGAGCUAGAAGCAAUGAAAAAAAGAUUUUGACAUACACCGAACAACUUAGAAGCUACGAUGUGAAGUAUUAUUUGGAAAAGCUACCUAUUCGAGAACUUCCGGAUCUUAGAGAUGAGUAGAAACUUUAUGUUACUUUUAUCAUUGUAAAUGACAACUUCAUUUUGGUUACAUUGUUAUUUUGAGUUUGGACAUGUGUUAAGUUGCCAUAUAAUAGAUAUGUUAUUAUUUUGU
rnacentral:lncRNA from 1 species